GCGCUAGUGGUUUAGUGGUAAAAUCCAUCGUUGCCAUCGAUGGGCCCUGGGUUCGAUUCCCAGCUAGCGCA
rfam:Arthrobotrys oligospora ATCC 24927 unplaced genomic scaffold scaffold00210, whole genome shotgun sequence.